AACGAACGCUGGCGGCAGGCUUAACACAUGCAAGUCGAGCGCCCAGCAAGGGGAGCGGCAGACGGGUGAGUAACGCGUGGAAAUCUACCCAUCUCUACGGAAUGACGCAUGGGAACGGGUGCUAAUAUGGUAUAUGUCCUUCGGGGGAAAGCUUUAUCGGAAAGUGAUGAGUCCGCGUUGGAUUAGCUAAUUGGUGGGGUAAAGGCCUACCAAGGCGAGGACCCAUAGCGGGUCUGAGAGGAUGAACAGCCGCACUGGAGCUGAGACACGGCCCAGAAUCCUACGGGAGGCAGCAGUGGGGAAUAUUGGACAAUGGGCGCAAGCCUGAUCCAGCCAUGCCGCGUGAGUGAUGAAGGCCCUAGGGUUGUAAAGCUCUUUCACCGGUGAAGAUAAUGACGGUAACCGGAGAAGAAGCCCCGGUUAACUUCGUGCCAGCAGCCGCCGUAAAAC
rnacentral:rRNA from 1 species